CACAGGCAUACCUUGGAGAAUUUUGGUUUCCAGACCACCACGAUAAAAAUGACGCUGUGUGCGGAGGGAGCUAAUGACCAGGACAGCACCGGGGGCUGAUCACGGGAAAAGAGAAAGAGCAAAUCACUUCACAGCAAAAUGUAACCGCACGGAAUUAAAAAAUGGACGUGGAAGCUCCUGGAACCAGUCAUUUAUCACAAAGUGAACAAUGUCAAUUUUUGAACAUACAAUCACUUUUCUUCAUACUUAA